ACGAACGCUGGCGGCGCGCCUAAUACCUGCAAGUCGAACGCACUCUCGUUUAGAUUGAAGGAGUUUGCUCCUGAUUGAUAAACAUUUGAGUGAGUGGCGGACGGGUGAGUAACACGUGGGUAACCUGCCCUAAAGUGGGGGAUAACAUUUGGAAACAGAUGCUAAUACCGCAUAAAACCUAACACCGCAUGGUGUAGGGUUGAAAGAUGGUUUCGGCUAUCACUUUAGGAUGGACCCGCGGUGCAUUAGUUAGUUGGUGAGGUAAAGGCUCACCAAGACCGUGAUGCAUAGCCGACCUGAGAGGGUAAUCGGCCACACUGGGACUGAGACACGGCCCAGACUCCUACGGGAGGCAGCAGUAGGGAAUCUUCCACAAUGGACGAAAGUCUGAUGGAGCAACGCCGCGUGAGUGAAGAAGGUUUUCGGAUCGUAAAACUCUGUUGUUGGAGAAGAAUGUAUCUGAUAGUAACUGAUCAGGUAGUGACGGUAUCCAACCAGAAAGCCACGGCUAACUACGUG
rnacentral:rRNA from 1 species